rnacentral:rRNA from 1 species
CUCCUACGGGGGGCAGCAGUGGGGAAUAUUGCACAAUGGGGGAAACCCUGAUGCAGCGACGCCGCGUGAGUGAAGAAGUAUUUCGGUACGUAAAGCUCUAUCAGCAGGGAAGAAAAAAAGUCCUUUGGACUUUGGACGGUACCUGACCAAGAAGCCCCGGCUAACUACGUGCCAGCAGCCGCGAUAAUACGUAGGGGGCAAGCGUUAUCCGGAUUUACUGGGUGUAAAGGGAGCGCAGACGGCAAGGCAAGUCUGAUGUGAAAGUCCGAGGCUCAACCUCGGGACUGCAUUGGAAACUGUCUGGC